UCGCCUCUUGCAACCAAUAAGAGGUCCAGCCUGCCCAGUGACUCUGUUCAACGGCCGCGGUAUCCUAACCGUGCAAAGGUAGCGCAAUCAUUUGUCCUUUAAAUAAGGACUAGUAUGAACGGCACCACGAAAGCUACACUGUCUCCUUCCUCUGAUCAGUGAAACUAAUCCCCCCGUGAAGAAGCGGGGAUAAUUUUAUAAGACGAGAAGACCCUAUGGAGCUUUAAACACACAACAAUUGUCACGGGCCCCCCCCCUUCUUCCCCGGAAGAAACUACCUACCCGAACAUUUUGAUUGCGAGUUUUAGGUUGGGGUGACCACGGAGCAAAAAUUAACCUCCAUAGUGAACGGGAUUCUUUUUCCCCUAAACCCAGGGCCACAACCCUAAGGAUCAACAAAUUGACACCCAUUGACCCAAUACUUUGACCAACGAACCAA
rnacentral:rRNA from 1 species